rnacentral:rRNA from 1 species
AGAGUUUGAUCAUGACUCAGAGCGAACGCUGGCGGCAGGCCUAAUACAUGCAAGUCGAACGCACCUUCGGGUGAGUGGCGGACGGGUGAGUAACACGUGGGAACGUGCCCUUUGGUUCGGAAUAAUCGGGGGAAACCUGGCCUAAUACCGGAUGUGCCCUUCGGGGGAAAGAUUUUUCGCCAUUGGAGCGGCCCGCGUCUGAUUAGCUAGUUGGUGGGGUAAAGGCCCACCAAGACUACGAUCAGUAGCUGGUCUGAGAGGAUGAUCAGCCACACUGGGACUGAGACACGGCCCAGACUCCUACGGGAGGCAGCAGUAGGGAAUCUUGCGCAAUGGGCGAAAGCCUGACGCAGCCAUGCCGCGUGAAUGAUGAAGGUCUUAGGAUUGUAAAAUUCUUUCAGCGGGGAAGAUAAUGACGGUACCCGCAGAAGAAGCUCCGACUAACUUCGUGCCAGCAGCCGCGGUAAUACGAAGGGGACUAGCGUUGCUCGGAAUUACUGGGCGUAAAGGGCGCGUAGGCGGGUGUUUUAGUCAGAGGUCAAAUCGCAGAGCUCAACUCUGGAACUGCCUUUGAUACUGGACACCUAGAGUUCGGGAGAGGUGUGUGGAACUCCGAGUGUAGAGGUGAAAUUCGUAGAUAAUCGGAAGAACACCAGUGGCGAAGGCGACACACUGGCCCGAUACUGACGCUGAGCGCGAAAGCGUUGGGGAGCAAACAGGAUUAGAUACCCUGUUAGUUCACGCCGAAUACGAUGAGUGCUAGUUGG